rnacentral:tRNA from 1 species
GGUGGCACAGUGGUAAAGCACUUGGCUGCUAACCCAAAGGUUGGUGGUUCAAACCCACCAACACCU